UACGUAGGUCCCGAGCGUUGUCCGGAUUUAUUGGGCGUAAAGCGAGCGCAGGUGGUUUAUUAAGUCUGGUGUAAAAGGCAGUGGCUCAACCAUUGUAUGCAUUGGAAACUGGUAGACUUGAGUGCAGUAGAGGAGAGUGGAAUUCCAUGUGUAGCGGUGAAAUGCGUAGAUAUAUGGAGGAACACCGGUGGCGAAAGCGGCUCUCUGGACUGUAACUGACACUGAGGCUCGAAAGCGUGGGUAGCAAACAGG
rnacentral:rRNA from 1 species